AGUACAACUCCAGAGGGACAGCUCAUGUACUUGUACUGUACCUUAAUGUAGUGAAACAUUAACUACCAUUUCCACAGGGGAACAAUGGACUGUGAAUCUCACACUGGCAUGAUGUUGUGAUAAAAACAUAUCAAGUGAAUUCUGUACAGACUUUGUGCCAAGAGCCAAACAAGGACAAUCAACUCUGUUUUCCAGAGGACCCCAGGCAUACCAACGGCAGCUAUAAAUUAAGAGCUGCAUUUACACACAGCAUGGACUGAUUUGGGUUCCAGCCCUUCCUUGUGACUGAGGAUGUCCCAUGAACAUAGUACCCAGAUUCAAUUUUGGAGCCAGGUCUUAUUUCUUUUAAGGCCUUGCCUACAUUAGGCUGCAUCUACUACCAGAAGUUCUGCUGACAGCAACAAGCCACUGCAAGAAACCUGCCAGAGCACGCUCACAGCUCAGUCGAACCACACAGAUCCAUGUAGCUCUACUCUACAGCUGUGCUGGCCAACCGUGGAAGACCCUAUGGCAUUUUUGGCAGCUUUCGUCAGGAGAGUGCAUCUCAUCUUGACUGUUCAGUUGGCUGUAACUGCUGGUAUAAUCUGCAUGCUUUUUAUUUACUGGAGGAGACUUAAAGAACGGGUGUUGAUGAAUUCCUGGUUUUCCUACCCUCUGUUAUCUACAUAAACUUUCAGCAAGGUUGUGAACUUCCUCAUCCCCUGGUGGGAGGAACACAUCCUCAUCCCAGUGCUGAUUUGUGAAGUGAAGUUCGUAGGCUCGCCUACAAAAGGUGUUUUGUAAAUUCCCUUUGAGGAUUAGAACUGAAACAUCGGAGAGGGAGUGCUUGUCUUGUGAGAAGUGGGCACCCACAGAUUAUACCUGAGGGUCAACAACACUCAGCAGCCAACCAGGGCCAGGUGUGGGGAGUUAAGCUACGGACAACCAGGCCAACACAGAUGCAAGGGGUGGGAUUGAGGUUCCAGUAAGUUAAUGGCAAACCUCCCACCUUCUUCAGUGGAAUCUGGAUUUUACCCUGCAUUUUCCUGACCGAGAAGAGGCUUCAAAGCAUUGUGGGAAAAAGGGAAAAGUGUUUUCUCGCCAAGGAUGUGGGAGAGAGCAGAAGAAACAUCGCAAGGGGAAUGGCUGUUAAGUGAACUGGGCAGGAGUUACUAUUUCAAAAGUGAUGCUAGCUAAAAAGAGAGUAUGAGCAGAAAUGUUGGGCCUAGAUUUAUGAAAUGUCACGGGACUUUAUGGCUAUUUAAAGUGAACAAAAAAAGUCACAAAAAUGAUGUUUUUAGAUUCUAGUGAGUAGCUUAUAAUUUCAGUCUUCUGAGCAAUCUCCAUGUGACAGAAUACUUCCAGCAUAGCAUCCCUACGUAUCUCUAUGCAUCUACUGUUCCCAUCCAUGAUGCCAUCGUCAACAGUGUCAGACCAAUUCUAGGACCCAGCUUUGUAGGAUGCAGUCCAAAGUCUCUGUUGCUAGUUAAAAGGCUUUUUAUAAAAAGCACACUAUAUAUUUCAAAAUGCCUUUUGAACAUUUCUACUAUUGUGGCACUCCCCUCUUGCCUGCUGUCCAUUAACAAGGAGGAAAUCUAUCAAUAUUACCUUCAAUACUCACUUAUAAACAAUCGUUUGCCACCAUU